rnacentral:tRNA from 1 species
UGGCUCAGUUGGUAGAGCAUGGUGUGUGCAACGCCAGGGUUGUGGGUUCGAGUCCCAC